GAGAUAAGUGCUGAAAGCAUCUAAGCACGAAACUUGCCCCGAGAUGAGUUCUCCCUGACUCCUUGAGAGUCCUGAAGGAACGUUGAAGACGACGACGUUGAUAGGCCGGGUGUGUAAGCGCAGCGAUGCGUUGAGCUAACCGGUACUAAUGAACCGUGAGGCUUAACCUUACAACGCCGAAGCUGUU
rnacentral:rRNA from 1 species